rnacentral:rRNA from 1 species
GUCUAUAGCCAUGUCACCCUGAACAUGCUCGAUCUCGUCUGAUCUUGGAAGCUAAACAGGGUUGGGCCUGGUUAGUACUUGGAUGGGACACCUCCUAGGAAUACCGGAUACUGUAGGCU